rnacentral:rRNA from 1 species
AGCGAACGCUGGCGGCAGGCCUAACACAUGCAAGUCGAACGGAUCCUUCGGGAUUAGUGGCGGACGGGUGAGUAACACGUGGGAACGUGCCCUUUGGUUCGGAACAACUCAGGGAAACUCGAGCUAAUACCGGAUGUGCCCUUCGGGGGAAAGAUUUAUCGCCAUUGGAGCGGCCCGCGUCUGAUUAGCUAGUUGGUGAGGUAAAGGCUCACCAAGGCGACGAUCAGUAGCUGGUCUGAGAGGAUGAUCAGCCACAUUGGGACUGAGACACGGCCCAAACUCCUACGGGAGGCAGCAGUGGGGAAUCUUGCGCAAUGGGCGAAAGCCUGACGCAGCCAUGCCGCGUGAAUGAUGAAGGUCUUAGGAUUGUAAAAUUCCUUCACCGGGGACGAUAAUGACGGUACCCGGAGAAGAAGCCCCGGCUAACUUCGUGCCAGCAGCCGCAGUAACAC